rnacentral:rRNA from 1 species
GACGAACGCUGGCGGCGUGCCUAAUACAUGCAAGUCGAGCGAAUCGAUAGGAGCUUGCUCCUGUUGGUUAGCGGCGGACGGGUGAGUAACACGUGGGCAACCUGCCUGUAAGACUGGGAUAACACCGGGAAACCGGUGCUAAUACCGGAUAAUCCUUUUCCUCUCAUGAGGAAAAGCUGAAAGUCGGUUUCGGCUGACACUUACAGAUGGGCCCGCGGGGAAUUAGCUAGUUGGUGAGGUAACGGCUCACCAAGGCGACGAUGCGUAGCCGACCUGAGAGGGUGAUCGGCCACACUGGGACUGAGACACGGCGCAGACUCCUACGGGAGGCAGCAGUAGGGAAUCUUCCACAAUGGACGAAAGUCUGAUGGAGCAACGCCGCGUGAGCGAUGAAGGCCUUCGGGUCGUAAAGCUCUGUUGUUAGGGAAGAACAAGUAUCGGAGUAACUGCCGGUACCUUGACGGUACCUAACCAGAAAGCCACGGCUAACUACGUGCCAGCCGCCGCCGUAGUAA